AUAGAAGCCGUGAACAAAGAGAAAGAAAAGAAGGUUAAAACAGGAAAAGAAAGAAGUAACUUCCCAGAACGGUUCUUCUACAAACUCACCACCUUCUGAUCUAUGAAUCACUUCCGAUCUACGCUACCCUUUUUCUGUUUCUAGUCACUUCAUUUUCGAUACACAUUUUUACACUUUCUUAGGGUUCCAAGUCCCCUUUUCCUAUUGAGAAAUGCUUUCCAGUGUGUUAGAUGAGUAUGAUAGCAGCGGAGAAGUUGGCAUCAGUUUGAAUAAUGCCACAGAAAACGAAGGGAAAAUUUCAUGCAAAUUUGUUAGAUUGAUGAACCAUAUAUUGCUAGUACUGUUAAGUAAGGACUGCUUUCUUGUGGAUCCUUUUCCAGUAUGUAACCUUGCAAAAGGAAAAUGGGAUCCAGACAACCGUCAACCGUUAUAUUCAGGUUUUGAAUGCAAGCAAUGUCUGUCAGAGAUGUGGUGAUAAAAAUGAAGUCCACAUGAAGACUAAGUGGGCCUAAAAUAUAAGUCAUUCUUUUGUUCAAGGCCCAUCAAGCAAAUUACAACUUCAAGAACAUGAGAGGAAAAAAAAAUAGAAAUUAGAAAUAUCAUCAGUGUUCUGAUAAUGACCUAGAUGACAUCCUCUACAAAAUUAUUUAAAUGUUCACUAUUUAUAUAUAAGAGGUAAGUUUAAAUUCUGCCCAAAGUAAUGUAUUAAAAAAAUUAUAUAAAAAAGCUAAAUGUAGUAAUAUAUAACAUCAUAAAAUUCCAAAUUAAAUACAAAUGAAAUACUAUUGCUAUUUAAUAGUUAGGUUAAUUUUAUUUUAUUACAGAUAUGUGCAUAGCUG